rnacentral:rRNA from 1 species
AUUGAACGCUGGCGGCAUGCCUUACACAUGCAAGUCGAACGGCAGCGCGGGGGCAACCCUGGCGGCGAGUGGCGAACGGGUGAGUAAUAUAUCGGAACGUACCCAAGAGUGGGGGAUAACGUAGCGAAAGUUACGCUAAUACCGCAUACGAUCUAAGGAUGAAAGCAGGGGACCGCAAGGCCUUGUGCUCCUGGAGCGGCCGAUAUCUGAUUAGCUAGUUGGUGGGGUAAAGGCCUACCAAGGCAUCGAUCAGUAGCUGGUCUGAGAGGACGACCAGCCACACUGGGACUGAGACACGGCCCAGACUCCUACGGGAGGCAGCAGUGGGGAAUUUUGGACAAUGGGGGGCAACCCUGAUCCAGCAAUGCCGCGUGAGUGAAGAAGGCCUUCGGGUUGGUAAAGACUCUUUUGUUCAGGGAAGAAACGGUUAGGGG